GCAUGCAAGCAGGAGGGGGCAGGGAUCUCAGUUAGGCAACGGGAAGCCUCCCUUCCCAGCUGAAGGAUCUCCUGCUUACACGCAAGUAGGAACGGGAUUGGGGCUGCUCCGAUGGGAAGGGAGGCAUUGCGCUGCCUGAGAGAUCCCCGCCCCCUCCUGCUUGCACGC